rnacentral:rRNA from 1 species
GACGAACGCUGGCGGCGUGCCUAAUACAUGCAAGUAGAACGCUGAAGAGAGGAGCUUGCUCUUCUUGGAUGAGUUGCGAACGGGUGAGUAACGCGUAGGUAACCUGCCUUGUAGCGGGGGAUAACUAUUGGAAACGAUAGCUAAUACCGCAUAACAAUGGAUGACACAUGUCAUUUAUUUGAAAGGGGCAAUUGCUCCACUACAAGAUGGACCUGCGUUGUAUUAGCUAGUAGGUGAGGUAAUGGCUCACCUAGGCGACGAUACAUAGCCGACCUGAGAGGGUGGUCGGCCACACUGGGACUGAGACACGGCCCAGACUCCUACGGGAGGCAGCAGUAGGGAAUCUUCGGCAAUGGGGGCAACCCUGACCGAGCAACGCCGCGGGAGUGAAGAAGGUUUUCGGAUCGUAAAGCUCUGUUGUAAGUCAAGAACGGGUGUGAGAGUGGAAAGUUCACACUGUGACGGUAGCUUAACAGAAAGGGACGGCUAACUACGUG